rnacentral:rRNA from 1 species
UCUCGGGUGACGAGCGGCGGACGGGUGAGUAAUGUCUGGGAAACUGCCUGAUGGAGGGGGAUAACUACUGGAAACGGUAGCUAAUACCGCAUAACGUCGCAAGACCAAAGAGGGGGACCUUCGGGCCUCUUGCCAUCAGAUGUGCCCAGAUGGGAUUAGCUAGUAGGUGGGGUAACGGCUCACCUAGGCGACGAUCCCUAGCUGGUCUGAGAGGAUGACCAGCCACACUGGAACUGAGACACGGUCCAGACUCCUACGGGAGGCAGCAGUGGGGAAUAUUGCACAAUGGGCGCAAGCCUGAUGCAGCCAUGCCGCGUGUAUGAAGAAGGCCUUCGGGUUGUAAAGUACUUUCAGCGGGGAGGAAGGUGUUGAGGUUAAUAACCUCAGCAAUUGACGUUACCCGCAGAAGAAGCACCGGCUAACUCCGUGCCAGCAGCCGCGGUAAUACGGAGGGUGCAAGCGUUAAUCGGAAUUACUGGGCGUAAAGCGCACGCAGGCGGUCUGUCAAGUCGGAUGUGAAAUCCCCGGGCUCAACCUGGGAACUGCAUUCGAAACUGGCAGGCUAGAGUCUUGUAGAGGGGGGUAGAAUUCCAGGUGUAGCGGUGAAAUGCGUAGAGAUCUGGAGGAAUACCGGUGGCGAAGGCGGCCCCCUGGACAAAGACUGACGCUCAGGUGCGAAAGCGUGGGGAGCAAACAGGAUUAGAUACCCUGGUAGUCCACGCCGUAAACGAUGUCGACUUGGAGGUUGUGCCCUUGAGGCGUGGCUUCCGGAGCUAACGCGUUAAGUCGACCGCCUGGGGAGUACGGCCGCAAGGUUAAAACUCAAAUGAAUUGACGGGGGCCCGCACAAGCGGUGGAGCAUGUGGUUUAAUUCGAUGCAACGCGAAGAACCUUACCUACUCUUGACAUCCAGAGAACUUUCCAGAGAUGGAUUGGUGCCUUCGGGAACUCUGAGACAGGUGCUGCAUGGCUGUCGUCAGCUCGUGUUGUGAAAUGUUGGGUUAAGUCCCGCAACGAGCGCAACCCUUAUCCUUUGUUGCCAGCGGUUAGGCCGGGAACUCAAAGGAGACUGCCAGUGAUAAACUGGAGGAAGGUGGGGAUGACGUCAAGUCAUCAUGGCCCUUACGAGUAGGGCUACACACGUGCUACAAUGGCGCAUACAAAGAGAAGCGACCUCGCGAGAGCAAGCGGACCUCAUAAAGUGCGUCGUAGUCCGGAUUGGAGUCUGCAACUCGACUCCAUGAAGUCGGAAUCGCUAGUAAUCGUAGAUCAGAAUGCUACGGUGAAUACGUUCCCGGGCCUUGUACACACCGCCCGUCACACCAUGGGAGUGGGUUGCAAAAGAAGUAGGUAGCUUAACCUUCGGGAGGGCGCUUACCACUUUGUGAUUCAUGACUGGGGUGAAGUCGUAACAAGGUAACCGUAGGGGAACCUGCGGUUG